rnacentral:rRNA from 1 species
AUUGAACGCUGGCGGCAGGCCUAACACAUGCAAGUCGAGCGGAUGAAGGGAGCUUGCUCCUGGAUUCAGCGGCGGACGGGUGAGUAAUGCCUAGGAAUCUGCCUGGUAGUGGGGGAUAACGUCCGGAAACGGGCGCUAAUACCGCAUACGUCCUGAGGUAGAAAGUGGGGGAUCUUCGGACCUCACGCUAUCAGCUGAGCCUAGGCGGGAUUAGCUAGUUGGUGGGGUAAAGGCCUACCAAGGCGACGAUCCGUAACUGGUCUGAGAGGAUGAUCAGUCACACUGGAACUGAGACACGGUCCAGACUCCUACGGGAGGCAGCAGUGGGGAAUAUUGGGCAAUGGGCGAAAGCCUGAUCCAGCCAUGCCGCGUGUGUGAAGAAGGUCUUCGGAUUGUAAAGCACUUUAAGUUGGGAGGAAGGGCAGUAAGUUAAUACAUUGCUGUUUUGACGGUACCAACAGAAUAAGCACCGGCUAACUUCGUG